UGUUGAAAUCAGCUACAUCACGGCCAUGCUUGGAAACUUCACUUCCCACAAGUGUCUCCAGAAAUGAAAUCAAUCAACCUGAGGAUGGUAUGACAGAAAA